UGGCAAAGCUGUUGAAAGACAGUGACGCAAAGCUUUAGUGUCUAAGGUAUUACUACUAUGAUUGACUGGCUGC
rnacentral:ncRNA from 1 species